AUUGAACGCUGGCGGCAGGCUUAACACAUGCAAGUCGAGCGGGGUGAUGGUGCUUGCACUAUCACUUAGCGGCGGACGGGUGAGUAAUGCUUAGGAAUCUGCCUAUUAGUGGGGGACAACAUCUCGAAAGGGAUGCUAAUACCGCAUACGUCCUACGGGAGAAAGCAGGGGAUCACUUGUGACCUUGCGCUAAUAGAUGAGCCUAAGUCGGAUUAGCUAGUUGGUGGGGUAAAGGCCUACCAAGGCGACGAUCUGUAGCGGGUCUGAGAGGAUGCUCCGCCACACUGGGACUGGGAAACAGCCCAGACUCCUACGGGAGGCAGCAGUGGGGAAUAUUGGACAAUGGGGGGAACCCUGAUCCAGGCAUGCCGCGUGUGUGAAGAAGGCCUUAUGGUUGUAAAGCACUUUAAGCGAGGAGGAGGCUCUUUUGGUUAAUACCCAAGAUGAGUGGACGUUACUCGCAGAAUAAGCACCGGCUAACUCUGUGCCAGCCGCCGCCGUAA
rnacentral:rRNA from 1 species